UUUGAACCUUAGUGGAAAGUGAAGAAUUCCUGCCUCUUCAAACUGUUGAUGAUCUUUAUUAUUAUCUUCUAGCAACUUUGGAUCAUCACUGGCAUAUUUUGCUCAUUGCUGGAGGGGCUGCUGCCUCAUUAUUACUACUGGUCACCAUACUGAUCAUCAGCGUCACUGUUGUUUAUCGUAAAAAAAAGAAAAGGAGAAAGAUCAUGAAGGCCCUCUCGAAAGCCCUGUACUCUACUCAGACCCGGCCCAGUAACAGUUAUGGAAGAUCCAACUUUCGUGGCACACCAAACAGCGGAAGAGGAGUAGCAUCAGUAUCUGGGGAGAUGCACGAGAUUUAUAUCAACUACAGAGACUUCUCACGCAAACCUAAGACAAGAGCAUGAGUUUCCUUCUCACGUCUGAAUAAAGUAACCAAUGUAGAAGUACA
rnacentral:lncRNA from 1 species